rnacentral:rRNA from 1 species
GAAUCUUCCACAAUGGACGAAAGUCUGAUGGAGCAACUCCGCGUGAGCGAAGAAGGUUUUCGGAUCGUAAAGCUCCGUUGUGUGGGAAGAACAAGUAUCGUUCGAAUAGGGCGGUACCUUGACGGUACCUAACCAGAAAGCCCCGGCUAACUACGUGCCAGCAGCCGCGGUAAUACGUAGGUGGCAAGCGUUAUCCGGAAUUAUUGGGCGUAAAGCGCGCGCAGGCGGUUUCUUAAGUCUGAUGUGAAAGCCCACGGCUCAACCGUGGAGGGUCAUUGGAAACUGGGAAGCUUGAGUGCAGAAGAGGAGAGUGGAAUUCCAUGUGUAGCGGUGAAAUGCGUAGAGAUAUGGAGGAACACCAGUGGCGAAGGCGACUCUCUGGUCUGCAACUGACACUGAGGUGCGAAAGCGUGGGGAGCAAACA